rnacentral:rRNA from 1 species
UAAGUUAUGAAGGGCGCAUGGUGAAUGCCUUGGUACUAGGAGCCGAUGAAGGACGGGACUAACACCGAUAUGCUUCGAGGAGCUUCGGUACCCUUUGAUCCGCAUAUAUCCGAAAGUU